CUUCCCGAACCCCUCUCACAACUCCUCAUCUCACACGCUAGAUCUCCAUCCAACUCCUCCUCUCACGCCCUCUCCUUCCAACCCCUCUCCGGCGAACCCCUCUCCCCGAACCUCUCCUCCGAACUCCUCUCCGUCAAGACCGCGGGCAAAAUUUCCUCACCUUAUUCCUUCACCUCUUCGUCAAAUAGAAAAUGCCCUAAUCUCUUCGCCUCCGUCGCCUCAUUCACGCUUCCUUCACACUGCCAAAUCUCUUUGACCCCACCUUCGUCAAGCGGCAGAUCCCGACGUUGAGGCGAUCGACCACGGCAGAUCGACCCAUCUCUUUGCCUCCUUCGCCCCCUACACUGAGGCGACCCGUCGUACUGGCGUGACUGCCUCCAGUAUUCAGUUGCGAUUGUCACUGGUGUCUUCUGUUCCUGACUAUAUACUACAAGAUGAAGUUCAGGCUCAGGACUUGUUGUCUCUAGUGCAGGCGGAAGAAAAUGACACAGUAGAGAAUUAUAGCAACCCUGAAGCACCACAACAACUUCCAGUUUUGGAUGAACGAUUAGGUGAAUCUUUUGCUGAAGAGACUAUGCCAUAUCCAAUUGCCUUGGAGACCACAAGAGAUCCACCUCCUGCAACCGCAAAAGAAUCUGUUGGAGAGCCAACUAAGCACACAUAUGCCUCCAUUCUUCGGGCUAAAGGCCAAUCUGGUCCAUCUAUGCAUCCAACACCUGUAGUAAAGACAUCUUUGGUGGUUUCAGAAUAGGCCCAUUCCUUUUCCCAACAUUCCCAUCCUGCUAUUUUUCCUGAGAAUUCUGGCUCUGAGGCAAUUGAGGAGGCUCUAGUAGUUGAGGAUGAAGUUGAUUCCAGAUCUGUUUAUGUUGGAAAUCUUCCUUCAUCUAUCUCGACUUCAGACCUUGAGCAAGUCUUUAAGAAUUUUGGUAAAUUGAGACCAGAUGGUGUUUUUAUUAGAAGUCGGAAGGAGUCUGAUGUUUUUUAUGUUUUCAUUGAAUAUCAAGAUGCCAUUGGUGUACAAAAUGCACUUAAGGCAUCUCCAAUAUAGUUAAAUGGGAGAUUGAUUCAUGUCGAGGGGAGAAGACCUAAUAGCGGUGUAUCACGAGAAAAUACACAAUGGUACGUGUUUUGUCCCAGUCUCAAGCCGAUAAUCCUUUUUGAUCAGUAUAUCUAGUAGAAGUAAGCAUGCAAAUCGUUGUCUUCGAGACCGACUAAUUAUUUUGUGCUUUUUUGUUUUAAAUUCAAAUGUCACUAUCUACUUUGAAACAGAACUAUUUAGUCUUUGUGUAUAGUUGAAUUCUCCUGUAAAUACUAAUAUUUUUAAGUUGAAUUCUAUUGUUUUGGUA